GACGAACCGUGCGACCGUUAUUCGGAAUCACUGGGCUUAAAGGGCGCGUAGGCGGCUUUGCAAGUCCGGGGUGAAAGCCCCCAGCUCAACUGGGGAAGUGCCUCGGAUACUGCGGAGCUCGAGGGAGGUAGGGGCGGAUGGAACUUCCGGUGGAGCGGUGAAAUGCGUUGAUAUCGGAAGGAACGCCGGUGGCGAAAGCGAUCCGCUGGCCCUCUACUGACGCUGAGGCGCGAAAGCCAGGGGAGCAAACGGG
rnacentral:rRNA from 1 species